rnacentral:lncRNA from 1 species
UCCACUGCCACCACCACCACCACCAGCGCCUGCACUUUCACCAAGUACACCAUUAUCGCCAAAAGAUAAUUAUAUCAUAUGUGAAUUUACUUGUGACGCUGGACUUUACAAUUGCUUUUCACAAUGUUCAACGCCUGAAGAUUAUAAAUGUCGUUCAAACUGCUCUCAUGAAGUAACCUUAUGCCGAAGAACUUGUUCUAUUCGACCUUCAUCUUCACCUCCACCUCCACCUCCAUCUCUAUCUCCACCUCCACCUCCAUCUCCACCUCCACCUCCACCUCCAACUAAAUGAUCAUAAUGAAUCGGUAUCUUCAAUAUCACACGACAUCUUAUGAUCUAUCAACAUGUUUUACUCUUACUAGUAUGUACUCUUAUAUAUAUACAAGC